rnacentral:rRNA from 1 species
CUUGCUUCUUUGCUGACGAGUGGCGGACGGGUGAGUAAUGUCUGGGAAACUGCCUGAUGGAGGGGGAUAACUACUGGAAACGGUAGCUAAUACCGCAUAACGUCGCAAGACCAAAGAGGGGGACCUUCGGGCCUCUUGCCAUCGGAUGUGCCCAGAUGGGAUUAGCUAGUAGGUGGGGUAACGGCUCACCUAGGCGACGAUCCCUAGCUGGUCUGAGAGGAUGACCAGCCACACUGGAACUGAGACACGGUCCAGACUCCUACGGGAGGCAGCAGUGGGGAAUAUUGCACAAUGGGCGCAAGCCUGAUGCAGCCAUGCCGCGUGUAUGAAGAAGGCCUUCGGGUUGUAAAGUACUUUCAGCGGGGAGGAAGGGAGUAAAGUUAAUACCUUUGCUCAUUGACGUUACCCGCAGAAGAAGCACCGGCUAACUCCGUGCCAGCAGCCGCGGUAAUACGGAGGGUGCAAGCGUUAAUCGGAAUUACUGGGCGUAAAGCGCACGCAGGCGGUUUGUUAAGUCAGAUGUGAAAUCCCCGGGCUC